rnacentral:rRNA from 1 species
GACGAACGCUGGCGGCGUGCUUAACACAUGCAAGUCGAACGGAAAGGCCCUGCUUUUGUGGGGUGCUCGAGUGGCGAACGGGUGAGUAACACGUGAGUAACCUGCCCUUGACUUUGGGAUAACUUCAGGAAACUGGGGCUAAUACCGGAUAGGAGCUCCUGCUGCAUGGUGGGGGUUGGAAAGUUUCGGCGGUUGGGGAUGGACUCGCGGCUUAUCAGCUUGUUGGUGGGGUAGUGGCUUACCAAGGCUUUGACGGGUAGCCGGCCUGAGAGGGUGACCGGCCACAUUGGGACAGAGAUACGGCCCAGACCCCUCCGGGAGGCAGCAGUGGGGAAUAUUGCACAAUGGGAGGAAGCCUGAUGCAGCAACGCCGCGUGCGGGAUGACGGCCUUCGGGUUGUAAACCGCUUUCGCCUGUGACGAAGCGUGAGUGACGGUAAUGGGUAAAGAAGCACCGGCUAACUACG